GAUCAACGCUGGCGGCGUGCCUCAGACAUGCAAGUCGAACGCGAAAGUUCCCUUCGGGGGCGAGUAGAGUGGCGCACGGUGAGUAACACGUAGGUAAUCUACCUUUGGGUGGGGAAGUAACAGCCGGAACGGCUGCUAAUACCGCAUAAUGCAGCGGCUCGACAUCGAGACAGUUGUUAAAGCGGGGGAGUCGCAAGACCUCGCGCCUAAAGAGGAGCCUGCGGCGGAUUAGCUUGUUGGUGAGGUAAUGGCUCACCAAGGCAUCGAUCCGUAGCCGGCCUGAGAGGGCGGUCGGCCACACUGACACUGACAUACGGGUC
rnacentral:rRNA from 1 species